CAAGUCCCUGUCGGGCAAGGUCUAACUAACCACCCGUAUUGAGUGUUGCGCCUUUGGCGGAGUGUGGGAUUAGCAAUUGCUUAUCAGUUAUGAAGAUAGCAUCACACGAACAAGAUUGGCGAAGCGUACACAGAGAAUUAUGUAGGCCAUAGGGAUUAUCGUGAUCCUGAAGUGCUGAUAUCGCUCCGAUAAAUACAGUCUGACUGACGAGGUUUGUAACGCCACUGAAGUCCAUGCAAAGCAACCGUAAUGAGUGAGGUUGUGGCGAGUCAGCGGAGUUAUUAAGCC
rfam:Pseudoalteromonas porphyrae strain TCD-SED14 scaffold_41, whole genome shotgun sequence.